UGCCCCCUGGCAAUGGGGAAAGAGACGCCUUGUUGUUGGUAUUGCUCUUUUAUCAGUCAAGGCAGAGCAGAUGGCAGUCCUUGUUUGCCCUAGCUUGAUGCCUGGCCUGGUGUGCAAAGCUGACUUAUGCCUAGAACACACAA